CGCCAAGAGCAGGACCGGACCUCCCCGGUGCAGGCACCAGACCGCUGACAAAAGUUGCUGCUUCUCCCACCGGAUCCACAGGGCGCCCCAGGAGGCUGCGACCAACAGCUCCAAGAGGACAAGGCCUGGACUCAAAUCACUGUUAUCUCCACUGACCACAAGGUUGCUUGGCACAUAACCACCAGGUUCCAGAUGCCAGCCAACAUGAUGCCAACCAGACUGAUGACCCCACCAAUGUGUCUUGGAGCCCCGCUUCACCAGAGACCCACCUUAUAGGGAAAGAGACAGGCAGACUGGGAGUGUGGACCGACCAGUCAACACCCAUGUUCAGCGAGGAAGCAAUUACAGAAGCCAGACCUUCCACCUUCUGCACCCCAUAAUGACCCUGGGUCCAUACUCCCAGAGAGAUAGAGAAUGGGAAAGUUAUCAGGAAGGGGAUGGGAUAUU